rnacentral:rRNA from 1 species
GUCCACGCCGUAAACGAUGGAUACUAGCUGUUGGGAGCAAUCUCAGUGGCUAAGCGAAAGUGAUAAGUAUCCCACCUGGGGAGUACGUUCGCAAGAAUGAAACUCAAAGGAAUUGACGGGGCCGCACAAGCGGUGGAGCAUGUGGUUUAAUUCGAUGAUACGCGAGGAACCUUACCAAGGCUUAAAUGUAGAUUGACCGGACUGGAAACAGUUUUUUCGUCAAGACAAUUUACAAGGUGCUGCAUGGUUGUCGU